rnacentral:hammerhead_ribozyme from 1 species
ACCAGCUGAAGAGUCAGAGAUUGGACGAAACGCGUGUCCUGGAU